AUACUUACCUGGCAGGGGAGAUACCAUGAUCACGAAGGUGGUUUUCCCAGGGCGAGGCUUAUCCAUUGCACUCCGGAUGUGCUGACCCCUGCGAUUUCCCCAAAUGCCUUAUCUUAGUUUGAUUUGGAGUAUAAAAAGUGGGGGGGGGGGAUGGACUUUGGCUUUCUUA
rnacentral:snRNA from 1 species